ACGAACGCUGGCGGCAGGCCUAACCCAUGCAAGUCGCGCGAGGACUUCGGUUCUAGCGGCGGACGGGUGAGUAACGCGUGGGAAUGUGCCCUUCUCUACGGAAUAGCCCUGGGAAACUGGGAGUAAUACCGUAUACGCCCUAUUGGGGAAAGAUUUAUCGGAGAAGGAUCAGCCCGCGUUGGAUUAGGUAGUUGGUGGGGUAAUGGCCUACCAAGCCGACGAUCCAUAGCUGGUUUGAGAGGAUGAUCAGCCACACUGGGACUGAGACACGGCCCAGACUCCUACGGGAGGCAGCAGUGGGGAAUCUUAGACAAUGGGGGCAACCCUGAUCUAGCCAUGCCGCGUGAGUGAUGAAGGCCUUAGGGUUGUAAAGCUCUUUCAGCUGGGAAGAUAAUGACGGUACCAGCAGAAGAAGCCCCGGCUAACUCCGUG
rnacentral:rRNA from 1 species